rnacentral:rRNA from 1 species
AUACGGAGGGUGCGAGCGUUAAUCGGAAUUACUGGGCGUAAAGCGCGCGUAGGCGGAUGAUUAAGUCAGUUGUGAAAGCCCUGGGCUCAACCUAGGAACUGCAUCUGAUACUGGUCGUCUAGAGUUUAAGAGAGGGAAGUGGAAUUCCAGGUGUAGCAGUGAAAUGCGUAGAUAUCUGGAGGAACAUCAGUGGCGAAGGCGACUUCCUGGCUUAAAACUGACGCUGAGGUGCGAAAGCGUGGGUAGCGAACGGGAUUAGAAACCCUAGUAGUCC